rnacentral:lncRNA from 1 species
GUUUGAAAAUGUCUCAUAGCUGCCUCGAAGAUCUCAGGUGCAGCAUUGACUACACUGAUCAAUCUAAGGUAGGAUAAAUGGAGGUAAGGAUUCAGAAAUCAUUGAUCCACCACGUCAAUAUAUGUACCUCCACAUGAAGAAUGCUGAGGGUAUCAAGUGGACAUCUUAAAAGUCAGAGGGCAAAAGAUGCAUCACUACUAGCAUUUUACGUAGAGAGUCUGGGGAUUCCUGCCUUGAUUUUUCUGCUACCCACAUCCUCAUUCUUUUCAUUUCACUGCUUCUCAGGCACAAGGACUAUUUUCCUGGUUCUCUAGAAUGCUGCUAGAAGGUAAGGAUUGGUGUAUCUGCCUGCAUUUCUACAGGAGUCCUCUGCAAAGCCAUUGGGCACCACGGAAGGGAAAUGCACGACAGAGAUGAAACAGAGGCUGUGUGCUCUCUCCCUACUCACUGACCGGUAAGCAUACAGUGAUACCAGGAACCAGGAUUUCCUGGUAUGCCAAAAACGGGAUGUGCCCCAGCUGCUGCUGCCAAGGCAGCCAGCGACAGAGACAGGGACAGAAUGACCCGCCUCGGAAUCCAAACUCAAGGGUUGCUGCAGAUGAAUUACUGCCAACUUCGUAAGACAAACUGGACAAACUCCCAUCAUGCCGGGUGAUGAAACAAUUUCCAGGAUUUCAUCCAUGGCACAUCCCCAACCUUGGAGUAUUUUCCCUGCUGGCUGUGAGAUCACUAUACAGGAAUACUAUAGAGGCAAGCUCCAAAAAUAUCACUGUCUGGAACCAUUUUUGCUUACUUAAGGACUUCUUCAGGUAUAAAAGCAUUAGACUACAAACCCAAUGCCUACAGAAACCAAUGUGUAUUUUAGGGAAAUGAGCUGGGAGGAGAAGUGAGACCAAUAAAGCAGGAGAGAUUUUCA